rnacentral:rRNA from 1 species
GACGAACGCUGGCGGCGUGCCUAAUACAUGCAAGUCGAACGCACAGUUUAUACCGUAGCUUGCUACACCAUAAACUGUGAGUUGCGAACGGGUGAGUAACGCGUAGGUAACCUGCCUGGUAGCGGGGGAUAACUCUUGGAAACGAUAGCUAAUACCGCAUAAUAUUGAUUAUUGCAUGAUAAUUGAUUGAAAGAUGCUAUUGCAUCACUACCAGAUGGACCUGCGUUGUAUUAGCUAGUAGGUGAGGUAACGGCUCACCUAGGCGACGAUACAUAGCCGACCUGAGAGGGUGAUCGGCCACACUGGGACUGAGACACGGCCCAGACUCCUACGGGAGGCAGCAGUAGGGAAUCUUCGGCAAUGGACGAAAGUCUGACCGAGCAACGCCGCGUGAGUGAAGAAGGUUUUCGGAUCGUAAAGCUCUGUUGUAAGAGAAGAACGGGUGUGAGAGUGGAAAGUUCACACUGUGACGGUAUCUUACCAGAAAGGGACGGCUAACUACGUG